AGAGUUUGAUCCUGGCUCAGGAUGAACGCUAGCGGCAGGCCUAAUACAUGCAAGUCGAACGAUACUUUCCAGCUUGCUGGAGAGGAAAGUGGCGCACGGGUGCGUAACGCGUAUGCAACCUACCUUCAUCAGGGGGAUAGCCCGGAGAAAUCCGGAUUAAUACCGCAUAAAAUCACAGGAUGGCAUUAUCCAAUGAUCAAACAUUUAUGGGAUGGAGAUGGGCAUGCGUGUCAUUAGCUAGUUGGCGGGGUAACGGCCCACCAAGGCGACGAUGACUAGGGGAUCUGAGAGGAUGGCCCCCCACACUGGUACUGAGACACGGACCAGACUCCUACGGGAGGCAGCAGUAAGGAAUAUUGGUCAAUGGAGGCAACUCUGAACCAGCCAUGCCGCGUGCAGGAAGACUGCCCUAUGGGUUGUAAACUGCUUUUAUCCGGGAAUAAACCUAAAUACGUGUAUUUAGCUGAAUGUACCGGAAGAAUAAGGAUCGGCUAACUCCGUGCCAGCAGCCGCGGUAAUACGGAGGAUCCAAGCGUUAUCCGGAUUUAUUGGGUUUAAAGGGUGCGUAGGCGGCCUGUUAAGUCAGGGGUGAAAGACGGUAGCUCAACUAUCGCAGUGCCCUUGAUACUGAUGGGCUUGAAUGGACUAGAGGUAGGCGGAAUGAGACAAGUAGCGGUGAAAUGCAUAGAUAUGUCUCAGAACACCGAUUGCGAAGGCAGCUUACUAUGGUCUUAUUGACGCUGAGGCACGAAAGCGUGGGGAUCAAACAGGAUUAGAUACCCUGGUAGUCCACGCCCUAAACGAUGAACACUCGCUGUUGGCGAUACACAGUCAGCGGCUAAGCGAAAGCGUUAAGUGUUCCACCUGGGGAGUACGCCUGCAAGGGUGAAACUCAAAGGAAUUGACGGGGGCCCGCACAAGCGGAGGAGCAUGUGGUUUAAUUCGAUGAUACGCGAGGAACCUUACCCGGGCUUGAAAGUUAGUGAAUGAUUUAGAGAUAGAUCAGUCCGCAAGGACACGAAACUAGGUGCUGCAUGGCUGUCGUCAGCUCGUGCCGUGAGGUGUUGGGUUAAGUCCCGCAACGAGCGCAACCCCUAUGUUUAGUUGCCAGCAUGUAAUGGUGGGGACUCUAAACAGACUGCCUGUGCAAACAGAGAGGAAGGAGGGGACGACGUCAAGUCAUCAUGGCCCUUACGUCCGGGGCUACACACGUGCUACAAUGGACGGUACAGAGGGCAGCUACAUAGCAAUAUGAUGCGAAUCUCACAAAGCCGUUCACAGUUCGGAUUGGGGUCUGCAACUCGACCCCAUGAAGUUGGAUUCGCUAGUAAUCGCGUAUCAGCAAUGACGCGGUGAAUACGUUCCCGGGCCUUGUACACACCGCCCGUCAAGCCAUGGAAGCUGGGGGUACCUAAAGUAUGUAACCGCAAGGAGCGUCCUAGGGUAAAACCGGUAACUGGGGCUAAGUCGUAACAAGGUAGCCGUA
rnacentral:rRNA from 1 species